UCCAAGAGUCUUGAUGAUCAUCCAGGUGCUUUUUGGCAAACUGGAGUCAACCUUUUUGGACGAGAUGGGUCCCAUUAUGCCUGGCGAACACCAAAGGACUUCAGGGGCUUAUUCUGUUGCAAAAAGUUUCGUAAAUGGAAUGAAAUAGGGAGGGACCUACCUGAAUUUGUCCAAUAGAAACUCUUGUUUUAGUGUUUGGACAAAUGAUUACACCCCAGGUGUGCACAUGCAAAACUGUGGCCCACUGAGGUUUCCCAAACUGGUUUCCCAAACUGGCUGCCAACUGAGGUUUCCCAAACUGGUUUCCCAAACUGGCUGCCAACUGAGGUUUCCCAAACUGUUUGUGCUUUGACCCGAUUCCAUGUCCCUGUGGCCCAGCAAGGCACGUACCCCCUCAAGCUGCUCCAGGUAUUUCCGUUGUGCCCUUGAGCAAGGCACUAACCCCCUCGAGCUGCUCCAGAUAUUUCCGUUGUGCCCUUGAGCAAGGCACUAACCCCCUCAAGCUGCUCCAGGUAUUUCCGUUGUGCCCUUGAGCAAGGCACUAAUCCCCUCAAGCUGCUCCAGGGGCACCACCGCAUCUCCUACUAACGUGUCAUUUCCUGUCUCCCUUCAGGUGAUCAUCAACAGCACCAUCACCCCAAACAUGACCUUCACCAAGACCUCCCAGAAGUUUGGCCAAUGGGCUGACAGCAGAGCCAACACAGUGUUCGGACUGGGGUUCGCCUCCGAGCAGCAGCUGGCCAAGUUUGCUGAGAAGUUCCAGGAAGUGAAGGAAGCAGCGAAGCUGGCCAGGGACAAGUCACAGGAGAAGAUGGAGACAUCGAGUAACAAUUCCCAGGAGUCGGGUCGUGAGACCCC